GGCAGUUUAUGGGGAAAGCACAGGUAGCAUAAGCAAGGACUGAGAACACAGUACUUGCAAUUCCCCUUCUCUCCCAAGAGGUUUCCAGACAUCUGACAUUAGCAUUUUCUUUCACAGUGUGAAUGAUUUUAAGGAACAGGACUCGGUGACAGCUGGUGCACACUUGCAAAGCACAUCAGACCACUCUGAAGCUACUAUCAUGUUCUCCAGGAUCUCAGCUUACAUUAGUUAAAACCUUACAGUAAUUUCUGUUCAUGCUGCAAUGCUCCACCAUGUACCAUAUAUAACUAACAAAGAGAUAGCCAGGUAAAUUAGCCUGUCCAAGGUAUGAGAUGCUACUUUUGUUUCACUGAAGCUUUAACUAAAACUGGUAAUUUAGAUACUAACAUUAUUAUUUCAUUCUUCAUGGGAGACUGGAGCAUUAAAGCUCUGACCUUUCCUAUUUUCCACCAGCUGUCUUCUCUCAAAUAGGUGGUGACUGGGAUAUGCAACCAGCUGUAUCAUUCUCCUGUAAGAAAAAAGAAGCCAAACCUUACCACUGAGGGGAUCCUGGGGCACAUAUGUGUCCCCCUGAGAGGUCACUAGAGGAGCUCAGAACACCUGCCCCAUCACAUCCUGAGUAAUCAUCACUUUCCAGAAAUGAUGCCUUAUUUUGGAUUCACAUGGGCAGAGACAAUUUCUACAGAGAUGCUGCUUGAUGUUGGGAGUCUGACAAUCCUGACACAGGAGAGGAAAGGGACAAGAACAACCACAGACAAUACCCCAACCUCAGUAUUCACAUUUACUGCUGGAGCGCUCCCUAGGUAACAGUAUUUUGUUAUAAACUCCUUAAGGGAUGACUUGUGAUACCGUCAAUCAGCCUCUGGUAGCAAGCAAUAAGUUGUUUUACAGAAAAAGCUGAUGGAGCUGUAAUACCUCUGAGAAUACAAGGUGAAGGCAACUCCAAAAGCAACAAUGGGAAAACCGGGGAUUCUGCCUUACAUCCCCACCGAGGUGAUCAGCGUGAUGGGGGCAGAAGUGUGUAGUUACUUGCAGGCAUCAGCAUCAGGAGAUGCAGUUCUGCCAGAUCCCAAAAGAGAUGCACAAAAGAAGACUCCUCCUUGCAUCAUCUGCUCAUCCUCAACAGGCCUGCACAGGCUGCUCAUCACAACUACCCUGCUGUCACCUCCUCUGCUGCUGGAGCGAGACCUCCCAGCGGUUUCUGCAGCAACUGGAUACUUCACUUCAAGGCAGCUACUCUGUGUAAUUUCCAUCUGGAAGGAUGCCAGCAUGGAGUUUUCCCUGCACUCUGUUGUGAUGAACAUAGAUGCAAAUGACUGGUUCAGCUUUUCAUGAUAUGGGCUUGUUUUCUUUCUUUACCAUGGAAGGGCUUUAUGUUUGAAAAAUUAUGUAGAACUAGCUUUAUGCUUUUGCAGGUCAUUCCUCAGUAAUUAGCUCAAAGCUGUGUCACUCCCACUCUUGGCUUAUUUAUAAAAGAAUAAUUUCCUACAUGAGAAGAUGUUUCGCCUAAGUAACGGUAGCUAAUACCUUCUUAAACAUGAUGUCACUUGGAAUGUAAGAUAGGCAUGACCUAGCAUUAAUUGUGAUGUUCAAUAGUCAGUGCCAUGAUUUAAAUGUGAAGGAAAUACUCUCAGAGAAACAUUAAAAGAUCCAUAUGUAACAAUUUUCACACACCUUGGCAGAUAUAAGUAAAGUUAUGGAAAACAUUUCAGGGAUCUCUCAUCUUUCUUUCAUGUAUCUGCUCUGUACCUGUACAGAACAGGAAAGCCGGCUGUGUGAAAUGAGGGGUGUUAAACUGGAUUUUGAAGACAGAUUGGUGGCGAGUCAGACUGCAGUGUCAACAAGCCUGCACCCUGCCUCCAUCCUGCAGUCAGAGAAAAUGUUAAUUACUAUAAUUAAUAAUAUAAUACAUAAAACUUGCAUAUUAUCUAUAUUGUGUAUAUAUUCUAUACAUAAAUAUAUAUAAUGUAAUGUUAUGUAUUUUGUUUAUAAAUACGUUUCUUUUAAAAAUCUAUAAAGUAAUUUUAUGACCAUAAUCACGAUCAUAAAGGUUGUUGAUGACCACUAUCUGCUGGUGUGGCACAGCCAUGAAUAAGGAAAGUGUGAUGGGGAGAUAUGGGAGACAGAAGAUGGGAAGUUAUUAGUGAAUGAAAGCUAUUUGCAAGAUUCUACGUGAUUCUGAUUUAUUCCUGGUUAAGUAGGAUGCCAAGAAGAUGCAGAGAACAGUUUCAGAGAAACCCUAGCAGUAUAGUUAGAAAAGCAACAUUCACCUUGAAAAAAGAGGUUUAACUUGCACAGAUGUAAUGGGAGAACUCCGAUCAGUGAACAAUUUUCCAUUAUAAUCUUCAAGUGAUGCUAUCUAUCUCCUUUUCAUUGUCAAGGAAUAUUUCAAUUUACCAGGAAGC